rnacentral:misc_RNA from 1 species
CAUGAAGAACGUAGUGAAAUGCGAUACGUAAUGUGAAUUGCAGAAUUCAGUGAAUCAUCGAGUCUUUGAACGCACAUUGCGCCCCCUGGUAUUCCGGGGGGCAUGCCUGUCCGAGCGUCAUUGCUGCCCUCAAGCACGGCUUGUGUGUUGGGCCUCCGUCCUCCUCCCGGGGGACGGGCCCGAAAGGCAGCGGCGGCACCGCGUCCGGUCCUCGAGCGUAUGGGGCUUCGUCACCCGCUCUUGUAGGCCCGGCCGGCGCUUGCCGACACAUCAAUCUUUUUUCCAGGUUGACCUCGGAUCAGGUAGGGAUACCCGCUGAACUUAAGCAUAUCAAUAAGCGGAGGA